AAAUAAAAGAUAAGGGAAUAGGAGCUCAGGGAGUUAACAAAGUCAACCAAAGAAACCCACCUUCUAAGCAGCAGGAAUGGGAAUGAAACCCAGAGUGCUGAGUAACACAGCUGAUGUCUCAUCAUGUUUACCCGACUACCUUCUUGGUGUAUCCCUUUGAAGUCUAAUAGGUACCUCAAACUGGACUGGACAAAAUAGGACUCUUGAUUUUUCUCUCUGCUCUCCAAAUUCACUUCCCCACAGGUUUUCCCAAUUUCAGUUAUGACCUUAUCCAUCCAGCUGCUGAGGCUCCCAACUUGAGAGCCUCCUUAAUUUCUUUUUGCCAUACAACUCCCUCCGGUUAAUCAGUAGAUUCUACAGGCUCUAUCUCUAAAAUAUACUGCCAUUAAUACUGCUCAUCUAGCUCUUUUUGCUCUGAUGAUGGCAAUAGCCUCUAAGAUGGCCAUCUAGUAGAAUAAGCCUUAAAAUAGUUACAUCAUAUGCUGCUGAGAAGUCAUGUCUUCUUAAUAAUUUAUCCUCCACACAGAAGCCAAAGUGAGCUUCCCCUUUAGACAUUUGUUGGAAUUGAGUGAGGUGUCAGCCUCCAUGGCCUUUGGCUGUAGCUUAUGGGGGAGCACCCUGUUCUGUUCCCCAAGCAGAGGAGAGGAGAAACGUCCUAACACUCUAUCAACUGUGGAAAUAAAUGAAGGGCACCCAAAUGAGAAGUGAGGUUAUUUACUUAGAGUUUUGCUAUAGCAGAUGUGUCAGCCACCAUCAUUUACAUUUGGCAGAGACUCAAGGCAGACAGGCAGGAGAGUGGGAAACCUUUCAAGUAUGCUGAUUGAAACUGUUGGCCCAAGGAAACCAGAGGAAGGCAAACUAGAAGUGCAGCAUUUUAUGUGAUUGGUUUGAGGAGUAUAUUUGGCUUUCUCUGGCUGGUCCUGAGUUGAAAUAGGGCAAGAAGUAGAGAAGUGGCUGGGCGCCAUGGCUCACACCUGUAAUCCCAACACUGUGGGAGGCCGAGGUGGGCAGAUCACUUCAGUGCAGGAGUUCUGGACCAGCCUGGGCAACAUGGCAGAACCCCAUCUCUACUAAAAAAUAAAUAAAUAAAUUAAUUAAUUAACCAGGCUCGAAGGGGCUAAAAAUUAACCUCCAUAUACUCAGGAGUCUGGGGUAGGAGGAUCACUUGAGCCUGGGAGAUUGAGGCUACAGUGAGCCAAGAUCAUGCCACUACCCUCACAGCCUGGGCAACAGAGUGAGACCCUGUCUCAACAACAACAACAACAAAUAGAGAAGCUGGCAGUCAUUGAUCAAGUCUUGACUGUUCUGACCAAUUGCUACAGAGGUUGUGGUUUGGCUUUUCUGGCUGAUUGUUGCAGACGUGAGUUAGAGUUCUUUUGACAUAUACAAUCUGGCCAUUAUUUGUUUUCAUAUUCAGCCUUUAUGAUUUUUCCUGUAAAAAAGUCCUUUUUUGUCUUUAUGAAUCUUUAAGUCUCCCCUCAUCAAGGUAGGCUGGGGACAAAUCACCUGAUUAAUUUUUAGGCUGCCUCUUUUGAGUCACUCUUUAGUUAUGGAGAGUAUGAUAAGUCUUUUUAUAAUUUGUGGAUAAUAAAACAUUUUGUUCUCAAGUUUAGAGCCUCACUCAGAAACUGAUAAAAUAGUAGAAGCCCUAUCAUAACAUCCUAUUACAUAAGUGUCAGUAAAGAGGACUCAUUUGAGAAGUUUGGCAGCAAAAAGAGGAAGAGAAAUUAAAUAGUUAUUAAAUGAGCAAUCAGGCAAACCAGAGGACCUCCCCAACCUUCCCCUCCUCUCUCCUGCCUUUCCCUCCUCUCCCCUCUCCUCCGCUCCCUUUCCCUGUCUUCCUCUCCUUUUCCUUCUCCUCCCUUUCCUUCCCCUCCCUUUUCUUCCCCUCCCUCUCCUCCCCCUCCCUUUCCUUCCCCUCCCUUCCCCUUCCCUCCCCUUCUUUUCUCCUUUUUAUCCCCUAAGGCAUAAGCCUUCACAAUAAAAUCCACACUCCUUAGCAUGGCUAGAUCCCUCAGGACUAGGUCCAACUUGUUCCUGCUCAUCUCAUUUGCUAUGACUCCCAGACACAAUUAUAUAUUUCCACUACUAGUAGCUGCUGUGAAAAGCAGUGUAAUAUAGAUGACAGAGAGACCAACAUGCACCCAGAUUAAAAGACUGCCUCAAAAAUCUAGGAUUGGUGGCCAGGCAUGGUGCCUCACACCUAUAAUUCUAGUACUUUGGGAGGCCAAGGUGGGCCACUUGGGGUCAGGAGUUCAAAAGCAGCCUGGCCAACAUGGUGAAACCCCAUUUCUACUAAAAAUACAAAAAUUAACCAGGUGUGAUGGUGGGUGCCUGUAAUCCCAGCUACUUGGGAGGCUGAGGCAGGAGACUGCUUGAACCUGGGAGGUGGGGGCUGCAGUGAGCUGAGAUCAUGCCACUGCACUCCAGCCUGGGCGAUAGAGCAAGACUCUGUAUCAAAAAAAAAAAAAAAAAAAAAAAAAAAAGUCUAAGGUGGGCUGUUAAGAAUAUGAGCUAGCUUUAUUCACAACAGCAGCAAUUGCAACAAUUUCCAUUUUUUUCUAUACAAUAAAAUAAUAAAAUUGUCCGUUUCUUUUUCAGCCUAACCUCUUACGAGAAUGAAGUGAGAGAAAAAAAUAACAUCUUUAGUAAAUUGUUGUAAAUACUAUACAGAAACAGAGCACUUCACUUGGAAUUUCAAAUAAUAAUUUCACUAAUUGUCAGUGUUAGUGUUCUGAGUUCUGACUUUGAAAUGAAAGGGGAGGCUGGAUAAGAGGACAUAUGAUGGCUGAGGAAAAAGGCAAGGCUAUAAUGAGACAAUUUGGUAGGGCAAGGAUGUAUGCGUGUAUCACAUGGGCCAAGUGUGGACCACUUUGGCUGUCUUGCAAGGAACCGCUCAAGAAGACUUUCUGGAAAUGUGAGAUGACACAAACAGAGGGUCUCCUAAGAACUCACAAAACUAUCCAAUGAGAAAAAGUAUCAGUUUUUUUUUUGUUUUGUUUUGUUUUUGUGGGCCAAAUGGCAAAACUAUACAAGUUAAAUGGCAAUGUUUCUACUUUCCAUUUCUGUUCACUUCUACCAUACCAUCACUGUAAAAGUCACAAGUAGCAUAGUGAGUAGGAGAGAAAUGAACUAAAUUUUCUUUUCCCCUCAAAUUCAGAUUUUUUUUAUUUCUUUGUGUCAACCUUUAUUUUUUGCCAAGACUUCUGAAAUAAUUGCUAAGAAAAUUACCCUGCCUCUCCUCUGCCAUAGAUGAUGACACUCUUGGUUAAAUUAUGAGUAAAGAAACCAUCUAUAAAAUAUUAAAUGAUUAAUAUUAUAGAUAAACAAGUACUAGCCCUUCCAUUGAGUUGUAGUUCUAAUGAAGCACUUCUCUUAAACUGUUAUUCCACUUUCAGAAAACCACAAAUUAACUUGAAAUUUUGAACAAAGGCCUGUGAUUGCUCACUGGACCAUGGCUAUCCCAGCAAUUGGCCUCUACUGAUACUAGAAAGGAAAAGAAACAAAACAAACAAACACAAAGGAACACUCUUCCAGAGUUCCAUAUGGAACCUUGGAUCAGGUAGCCCGCCAGUCUUCUCAUCUCUCUUACCUUCCACCAUUUCCUGAACAGCAGGGCUCUCUGCUGCACCUCCUUCUGAAUUCAUUACCCAUGCUUGUCUUUGUGAACUACUCUUCCCAUUCUGUCCCUGGAACUUCUAUCUCCAUGUAAACACAUCCUCUUACAACUUCAGAUGUUCUAAAAAAAAAAAAAUCUAUCUGCUUUCCUUAACUGAUCCUGGACAUUUCUCAUAGUUUCCAUCUUCCUUCUGGUUUUUUCAUAUUGAAAACUCUUCAUUCCCUCACUUGCCACAUGCCCCAGAACUUGCUGGAAUAUUAGAACUUUUUCUUCCUCUCUUGCAAUUUUUCACCAUUAUAGCUAUUCUGUGUGCUGACCAAUACAGUAGCCAUUUGAUACAUGUGACUAUUAAGCACUAGGAGUGUGACUAAUCCGAAUUGAGAUCUGUUCUAUGUGUAAAACCACCCCAAAGUUUGAAGACCUAGUGUGAAAAAUAGAAUGUAAAAUAUAUCACAAACACUUUUAUAUUGAUUAUAUGUUGAUAAUGAUUUGGACAUAUUGAGUUAAAUCAAAUAGGAAAUCAAUUUCUUGUUUCUUUUUACUUUUUUAAAAUGUCAGAAUUAGAACAGUUUAGAUUAUAUAUGUAGCUCACAUUAUAUUUCUAUUAUAAAGUAAUAGGGAUUACAUAAUUUUACAAAAAGAAUAAAAACUUAUGUGAUUAGUUUUUUCAUGUACUUUGUGCCUAUUGUGUACCAGGCAUUAAUGUUGAGUCAAUGAAUAACAUUCUUAUGGUUUAUGGAGCUUACAUUAUAAUGAGGGAAGAGAUCAUAUAUAAACUACCACUACAUGCAAAGUAAGUAGGAUGUUGAUACAUGCUACGGAAAGUAGGGUAAAGAGAAUAGGAAAUGGAGAUGAGGACAUGGGCUUCUGUAAUUAGGGAUGGUCUCACUGGAAAGGUGGUAAUUGAACAGAGAACUUCAAGAAUUCAAAGAAUAAGCUAUGUGGGUGUUGGGGAAGAAAUGCUUAGGUCAGAGAAAGUGCAAAGGACUUGAGAAGGACAUAGGUGUGAUGAGUGUAGCAACAGCAAUGGGACAAACAUCACUGGAAUGGAGUAAGUGAGACAGGAAUUAUGAAGUAAGAGAGGUGGUAUGUGAAACAGUGGGGACAUGGAGGAUCAUAUUAUAUUAGGCAGGGCCUGGUAGGGUAUCGGAAGGCCUCUAGCUUUUAUUCCUGAUGAGAUGAGAAACCAGUGGAGGAUGUUGAGCAGAGGUGUGACAUGCUCUCACUUAGAUUUUAAAAGAAUGGCUCUUGCUGUCAUGUCGAUAAGAGAGUAGUAGUAGGUAAGGGCUGAUGAGAAAGCAACUAUUGCAAUAACACCGCAAGAACUGGAAGGUGGUUGGCUAGGAUAGGUAGUAAUGGAGUUGAAUUCAGGAUAUAUGUUGAAGAUAUAGGAACCUGGAUUUGCUGGAUAUGGGAAGUGGGAAGAAAAAAAAGCCAAGGAUGACUUCAAAGUGGUAGCUUGGGAGACUGACAGGAUGAAGGGGCCAUUUAUUGAGAAGGAGCAUGUUGUGGGAAGUACAGGAGGGAAUCUGUAUUUGGCCAUCAAUUUGAGGGGUAGAAACAAAGUGCUAACAUUCAAAAGAAGGAAGGGGAAAACCUAUCUCAGGGUGUCAGGAAGUGUUCUUAGAGUACAUGACACUUUGAGCUAUGCCUUAAAAUACAGGUGAGGUUUUUCAAGGCAAGAAAGUAAGAAAGCAGUGUCCUGCCCCUUGAGCUAAGAAGAACACAGGCAAAGGAA
rnacentral:lncRNA from 10 species